AUAGCGCCCCCUAAGGUGAAAAUUCACACUAUUGACUGUCACGCCUGUACGCUUUGUCAUAUUGACACAAAAAUUGACACACACAUGUAUCUCAAUAAGAUCUACAAAAAAGUCAGUGCGGGCGUAUCUGUCAAAUGUACGGUUAAAGGGUUAUUGCGCAUUUUUUGCAGAUCUGCACACAUUGGAAUUUCGCUAACUCCUCCGAAGGCUUUCGGUCCACCGGCACCACAUUUGCUCAGGCCAAUCUACACUCCAUGGCCAUUCAAAGUUGUACAAAUCAUGAUGCUGCACCCCAUGGUUUAGGUUCUAGGGGGCGCCAAAAAUAACCCUAAAAUCCACAUUCUUAAAAGUUUUAUAACUUUUUAUUUUUGCCCUCACUGGCCUCCAAGUUUUCUAGGAUGAUGCAAUGUCCAGCCAUCAACACAUUUGUGAAGGAAUUCUUACUCCCCAAAAGAGCGCCCCCCCAUGGCAGGACAAAAAAGUCAAUUUUUUCUUGUCCCCUAAGGUGAAAAUACACAUUGUUGAAUGUCACGCCUGUACGCUUUGUCAUAUUGACACAAAAUUUGACAAUCACGUGUAUCUCAAUAAGAUCUACGAAAAAGUCAAUGCGCGCGUAUCUGUAAAAUGUACGGUUAAAGGGCUAUUUCGCAUUUUUUGCCGAUUCGCACACAUUGGAAUGUGGCUAACUCCUCCUAAGGCUUUCGUCCCACUGACACCAAAUUUGCUCAGGCCAAUCUACACCCCAUGGCCAUUCAAAGUUGUAAAAAUCAUGACGCUGCACCCCAUGGUCUACGUUCUAGGGGGCGCCAAAGAGGACCCAAAUAUCCACAUUUUUAAAGUCUUAUAACUUUUUAUUUUUGUCCUCACUGGCCUCCAAGUUUUCUAGGAUGAUGCAAUGUCCAGCCAUCAACACAUUUGUGAAGGAAUUUUUUCUCCCCAAAAGAGCGCCCCCCAUGGCAGGAGAAAAAGUCAAGUUUUUCCUGCCCAUCGCUCAAUGGCUCAAACGCAUCGCUCUCUCGGCAAAACCGAAAGGAGGAGCAACUUGCCAUUUGGAUAUAUACUAGCUGUUUGUGCCCUCACUCAUGGUCCAGACUUUUUUCAAAUAGGACAUGUAGUUUGUCUGCAGCGACCGUUUUGGUAGAAACUGCGCCUCCCAUUCAUUAUAAUGGGAAAUGACCACAGACAAGUGCGCACACCAUCUUUGGACCUUGAGUGUGAUGCAAUCGGGAGGGGGAGGCGGUCGCGCUGGGGGCGGCGCGACGCGGCUCGGGCCCGACAGUGCCCCACCGGGGCCCUAGUUCGUUAUUAUUUUUCCUCCGCUUUAAACUGGAAAAUGGCCCACUUCCCACUGGCGAAAACUCAGGAAAUUUGGCAGGACGACCGGGCCUGGUGAAAAAUUCGAUAUUCUGAAGUCGCCCAAACAAUAAAAUGCAAAAUGGCUCCAUAGCGCCCCCUAAGGUGAAAAUUCACAUGACGGCUGUACGCUUUGUCAUAUUGACACAAAAAUUGACACACACAUGUAUCUCAAUAAGAUCUACAAAAAAGUCAGUGCGGGCGUAUCUGUCAAAUGUACGGUUAAUGGGUUAUUUUGCAUUUUUUGCAGAUCUGCACACAUUGGAAUUUCGUUAACUCCUCCGAAGGCUUUUGUUCGACCGGCACCACAUUUGCGCAGGCCAAUCUACCUCCCAUGGCCAUUAAAAGUUGUACAAAUCAUGACGCUGCACCCCACGAUUUAGGUUCUAGGGGGCGCCAAAGAUAACACUAAAAUCCACAUUCUUAAAAGUCUUAUAACUUUUUACUUUUGUCCUCACUGGCCUCCAAGUUUUCUAGGAUGAUGCAAUGUCCAGCCAUCAACACAUCUGUGAAGGAAUUUUUACUCGCCAAAAGAGCGCCCCCCCAUGGCAGGAGAAAAAAGUCCAUUUUUUCUUGUCCCCUAAGGUGAAAAUACACACUAUUGACUGUCACGCCUGUACGCUUUGGCAAAAUGACACAAAAAUUGACACACACAUGUAUCUCAAUAAGAUCUACAAAAAGUCCAUGCGCGCGUAUCUGUCAAAUGUACAGUUAAAGGGUUAUUCCGCAUUUUUUGCCGAUACGCACACAUUGGAAUUUCGCUAACUCCUCCGAAGGCUUUCGUUCCACCGGCACCACAUUUGCUCAGGCCAAUCUACACCCCAUGGCCAUUAAAAGUUAUUCAAAUCAUGAUGCUGCACCCCAUGGUUUAGGUUCUAGGGGGCGCCAAAAAUAACCCAAAAAUCCACAUUCUUAAAUGUUUUAUAACUUUUUUUGUCCUCACUGGCCUCCAAGUUUUCUAGGAUGAUGCAAUGUCCAGCCAUCAACACAUUUGUGAAGGAAUUUUUACUCCCCAAAAGAGCGCCCCCCCAUGGUAGGAGAAAAAAGUCAAUUUUUUCUUGUCCCCUUACAUGAAAAUACACAUUGUUGAGUGUCACGCCUGAACGCUUUGUCAUAUUGACACAAAAAUUGACAAUCAUGUGUAUCUCAAUUAGAUCUACGAAAAAGUCAAAAAGCGCGUAUCUGUAUAAUGUACGGUUAAAGGGCUAUUUUGCAUUUUUUGCCGAUUCGCACACAUUGGAAUGUGGCUAUCUCCUCCUAAGGCUUUCGUCCCACCGAUACCAAAUUUGCUCAGGGCAAUCUACACCCCAUGCCCAUUCAAAGUUGUAAAAAUCAUGACGCUGCACCCCACGGUUUACGUUCUAGGGGGCGCCAAAGAUGACCCAAAAAUCCACAUUCUUAAAAGUCAUUUUGGCCACUGCAGGAGUACAGAGUACUGCAGUUCUAGGGGGCGCCAAAGAUGACCCAAAAAUCCACAUUCUUAAAAGUCUUUUUGGCCACUGCAGGAGUACAGAGUACUGCAGGAUACACACACAUAUACACACACGCCAACAUACACACACACACACACACACACACACACACACACACACACACAGACACACACACACACUCAGAGUCUGUUUUUCAGCACCUGCAAAAACAUGCUAUUUACAUAUUUGACUAGAAUGCAGAGGCCCCUUUUUGCCCCUGAAAAAAAUCAAAUUUCAAACACAACUUGACUGCUCAUUUCUCCAAAAGACAACCAUGAAGCUCCAUCCAAACCUGAAGCAGGCAGUUGGUGCAUGUGUACAGUCACCUGAGGAAAGUGAGGUGACUACUUCUGAGGAGAACAUGAGCAGUGAAGAUUCACCUUGGAGCUAGAACAGGGACGUGCACAUGAUUAUACAGGGGCAGGGGCUCAAGUUUUUUCCAGUCAUUUAUACAAUAUUGAAAUUAAUGUGAAAUUAAAAAACAAGUAUUAAUAGAAAGGUUAUGACUGUCCUGUGUAGAUGACAGUGAUAUCCAAUAGGCUAGGCACUCACGAGGCUGGCUGUGGCAAGUGUAAGUGAAAGCAACACGCACUGGCAGGAAGAACAGCAAACGCCGAUGAAGGAAAGGGUCUUUGCAGUGAUGGGCGUUACCAGAGAGGGCGAUGGCCAGAGGACGCGAAUGGGACGGGGAGGCAGCGCGUUGGGGGGGGCAGCGCGACACGGCUCGGGCCCGCCAGUGCCCCAACGGGGCCCUAGUUAUUAUUAUUUUUCCUCCGCUUUAAACUGGAAAAUGGCCCACUUCCCACUGGCGAAAACUCAUGAAAUUUGGCAGGACGACCGGGCCUGGUGAAAAAUUCGAUAUUUUGAAGUCGCCCAAACAAUAAAAUGCAAAAUGGCUCCAUAGCGCCCCCUAAGGUGGAAAUUCACACUAUUGACUGUCACGUCUGUACGUUUUGUCAUAUUGACACAAAAAUUGACACACAUAUGUAUCUCAAUAAGAUCUACAAAAAAGUCAGUGCGGGCGUAUCUGUCAAAUGUACGGUUAAAGGGUUAUUUCGCAUUUUUUGCCGAUCCGCACACAUUGGAAUUUCGCUAACUCCUCCGAAGGCUUUCGUUCCACCGGCACCACAUUUGCUCAGGCCAGUCUACACCCCAUGGCCAUUAAAAGUUGUACAAAUCAUGACGCUGCACCCCACGGUUUAGGUUCUAGGGGGCGCCAAAGAUAACCCAAAAAUCCACAUUCUUAAAAGUCUUAUAACUUUUUAUUUUUGUCCUCACUGCCCUCCAAGUUUUCUAGGAUGAUGCAAUGUCCAGCCAUCAACACAUUUGUGAAGGAAUUUUUACUCCCCAAAAGAGCGCCCCCCCAUGGCAGGAGAAAAAAGUCAAUUUUUUCUUGUCCCCUUACAUGAAAAUACACAUUGUUGAGUGUCACGCCUGAACGCUUUGUCAUAUUGACACAAAAAUUGACAAUCAUGUGUAUCUCACUUAGAUCUACGAAAAAGUCAAAGAGCGCGUAUCUGUAUAAUGUACGGUUAAAGGGCUAUUUCGCAUUUUUUGCCGAUUCGCAC